GAACGGGACAACGGGGCACUCUGUGAGUAGCAGUGGCGUACGGCGUGAGUAACACGUGACUACCUACCCUCGAGUGGGGGAUAACCCCNGGGAAACCGGGGCUAAUACCGCAUAACAUCGCAAGAUCAAAGGAGCAAUUCGCUUGAGGAGGGGGUCGCGGCUGAUUAGCUAGUUGGUGGGGUAACGGCCCACCAAGGCGAUGAUCGGUAGCCGGCCUGAGAGGGCGCACGGCCACACUGGAACUGAAACACGGUCCAGACUCCUACGGGAGGCAGCAGUGGGGAAUUUUGCGCAAUGGGGGAAACCCUGACGCAGCAACGCCGCGUGGAGGAUGAAGUCCCUUGGGACGUAAACUCCUUUCGACCCGGACGAUAAUGACGGUACGGGUGGAAGAAGCACCGGCUAACUUCGUGCCAGCAGCCGCGGUAAU
rnacentral:rRNA from 1 species